UUAAGUUCAGCGGGUAGUCUCACCCGAUUUGAGGUCAAGGGUACGUGGUCGAGGCAAGCUCGAACGUUGUCUCAUCCAGAGACGAUUGGAAGCAGGUCCCAAGAGGCGACAGAGCCAAAGACCGAGACGUGGAAGCAUCUUAUCACACGUCGAGGAUCGGCAAAGGGAACCUCGCUAAUUCAUUUGAGAGGAGCUGACCU
rnacentral:misc_RNA from 1 species